CCUACGGGUGGCUGCAGUGGGGAAUAUUGGACAAUGGGGGGAACCCUGAUCCAGCCAUGCCGCGUGUGUGAAGAAGGCCCUCGGGUUGUAAAGCACUUUCAGUGAGGAAGAACGCCUGGUGGUUAAUACCCAUCAGGAAAGACAUCACUCACAGAAGAAGCACCGGCUAACUCCGUGCCAGCAGCCGCGGUAAUACGGAGGGUGCGAGCAUUAAUCGGAAUUACUGGGCGUAAAGCGCGCGUAGGUGGCUUGAUAAGCCGGUUGUGAAAGCCCCGGGCUCAACCUGGGAACGGCAUCCGGAACUGUCAAGCUAGAGUGCAGGAGAGGAAGGUAGAAUUCCCGGUGUAGCGGUGAAAUGCGUAGAGAUCGGGAGGAAUACCAGUGGCGAAGGCGGCCUUCUGGACUGACACUGACACUGAGGUGCGAAAGCGUGGGUAGCAAACAGGAUUAGAUACCCUGGUAGUC
rnacentral:rRNA from 1 species